CGGACUGCAGUCUGCAACUCGACUGCACGAAGUCGGAAUUGCUAGUAAUCGCGGAUCAGCAUGCCGCGGUGAAUACGUUCCCGGGUCUUGUACACACCGCCCGUCACACCAUGAGAGCCGGAAACACCCGAAGUCCGUAGCCUAACCGCAAGGGGGCGCGGCCGAAGGUGGGUUUGGUAAUUGGGGUGAAGUCGUAACAAGGUAUC
rnacentral:rRNA from 1 species